rnacentral:lncRNA from 1 species
UUUUUUUUUUUUUUUUUGGAGACUGAAAUCUUCACUGAAGACACUUGAGAAAGAAUCCUCUAAGAGUCCCAGCUCUGCGUAUGAUUCAUCUUCUGGAAUUUCCACGUGAAUCACAGCUCUGCACCUGGAUGGAGUUUUCUUUUGUUUAUGGGGUUUUUUUUUUUUUGGCCUGAACAUUUGCUGCUAAUGGAACUUACACAGCCGAGUGCUGGCUCUGUGGAAGCCCGUGUUUCUUUGUUAAUUUAAAUGAAAAAGGGGGAGAUCCCACUUCAGUUUUUGGAUCCCAGACCUCAGCUUGAACAGUAUUCCAGUGAGGGUAAAAAAACUGGGUGGGGUUCCGCUGCAGACUUCCCCUUACCCCAUGCGGUAUUGUACACACCCCUCCCUCCCCCCCCCCCUUCCUCCAAGGCUUGAGUUGGCUGCUGGCUGGCAAACUCCUUCUUACCCAUAUAAGUUAUUUAAUGUAAUAAUGAAGCUCAACACUGUGGUAGGAAAAUAGCCACUGGGGGGGAAAGGCAGAGUUUGUCACUGUUGGAUCGCCCAUCCUGUGGGAAGGGACCGUGUUUUCUUUACCCUUCUGAGCUGUUUACAGCUGACCACUGUGUCCUGUAGAUGUAUUUUUCAGUAGGUUUUGUUUUUGUUGUUGUCCUUAACUUGCUUUUCCAUGAUGCCACCCCCAUCCCCGUCAGUGUAAAUGCUAUGACUUUAAGGGUCUUGGGGGGGAAACACCCAUGACCUAACCCCAGUUGCUGUUUUUCACUAACUUAUUUCUCAUUAUCCUCUGGAGUCAGUUGGUGGCUAAACACAUAGACAAGGAAUACAUUUAAGGAAAGUCCCCUCCUCCCCCCGUAGCAGUGACCAAAUGAAAACCAGCUUGCUGGUGACUGAUCAGUCUUAACAUCUAAAUUAGGUCCGUAGUUGCUCUGAAAUUAGCCAUCUUGAUACUCUUGGAGAAACUUUACAGUAGUGAUCCCCGCUAAUGAAAACGCACAAUGCCAAGCUCCUGCCGUGUUUGUUAACCCUUCUGACGCCAUCCUGAGGACCAGCAUGUCUUAACUGUGCAUCAUCUCAACAGGCCUGACCUGUCUCCGAGUUGUCCCUUCACAAUGUCAAUACAUUUUACACUCUGCA